UGGGGAAUAUUGCACAAUGGGCGCAAGCCUGAUGCAGCCAUGCCGCGUGUAUGAAGAAGGCCUUCGGGUUAUAAAGUACUUUCAGCGAGGAGGAAGGCGUUGUGGUUAAUAACCGCAACGAUUGACGUUACUCGCAGAAGAAGCACCGGCUAACUCCGUGCCAGCAGCCGCGGUAAUACGGAGGGUGCAAGCGUUAAUCGGAAUUACUGGGCGUAAAGCGCACGCAGGCGGUCUGUCAAGUCGGAUGUGAAAUCCCCGGGCUCAACCUGGGAACUGCAUCCGAAACUGGCAGGCUAGAGUCUUGUAGAGGGGGGUAGAAUUCCAGGUGUAGCGGUGAAAUGCGUAGAGAUCUGGAGGAAUACCGGUGGCGAAGGCGGCCCCCUGGACAAAGACUGACGCUCAGGUGCGAAAGCGUGGGGAGCAAACA
rnacentral:rRNA from 1 species